AUGAACGCAAGUGAAUUCCGAAGGAGAGGGAAGGAGAUGGUGGAUUACAUGGCCAACUACAUGGAAGGCAUUGAGGGACGCCAGGUCUACCCUGACGUGGAGCCCGGGUACCUGCGGCCGCUGAUCCCUGCCGCUGCCCCUCAGGAGCCAGACACGUUUGAGGACAUCAUCAACGACGUUGAGAAGAUAAUCAUGCCUGGGGUGACGCACUGGCACAGCCCCUACUUCUUCGCCUACUUCCCCACUGCCAGCUCGUACCCGGCCAUGCUUGCGGACAUGCUGUGCGGGGCCAUUGGCUGCAUCGGCUUCUCCUGGGCGGCAAGCCCAGCAUGCACAGAGCUGGAGACUGUGAUGAUGGACUGGCUCGGGAAGAUGCUGGAACUACCAAAGGCAUUUUUGAAUGAGAAAGCUGGAGAAGGGGGAGGAGUGAUCCAGGGAAGUGCCAGUGAAGCCACCCUGGUGGCCCUGCUGGCCGCUCGGACCAAAGUGAUCCAUCGGCUGCAGGCAGCGUCCCCAGAGCUCACACAGGCCGCUAUCAUGGAGAAGCUGGUGGCUUACUCAUCCGAUCAGAUGGUUGCCACCCUGGGGACCACAACAUGCUGCUCCUUUGACAAUCUCUUAGAAGUCGGUCCUAUCUUUUGCAGAUUCAUUCAACUUUAAUCCCCACAAAUGGCUAUUGGUGAAUUUUGACUGUUCUGCCAUGUGGGUGAAAAAGAGAACAGACUUAACGGGAGCCUUUAGACUGGACCCCACUUACCUGAAGCACAGCCAUCAGGAUUCAGGGCUUAUCACUGACUACCGGCAUUGGCAGAUACCACUGGGCAGAAGAUUUCGCUCUUUGAAAAUGUGGUUUGUAUUUAGGAUGUAUGGAGUCAAAGGACUGCAGGCUUAUAUCCGCAAGCAUGUCCAGCUGUCCCAUGAGUUUGAGUCACUGGUGCGCCAGGAUCCCCGCUUUGAAAUCUGUGUGGAAGUCAUUCUGGGGCUUGUCUGCUUUCGGCUAAAGGGUUCCAACAAAGUGAAUGAAGCUCUUCUGCAAAGAAUAAACAGUGCCAAAAAAAUCCACUUGGUUCCAUGUCACCUCAGGGACAAGUUUGUCCUGCGCUUUGCCAUCUGUUCUCGCACGGUGGAAUCUGCCCAUGUGCAGCGGGCCUGGGAACACAUCAAAGAGCUGGCGGCCGACGUGCUGCGAGCAGAGAGGGAGUAGGAGUGAAGCCAGCUGCAGGAAUCAAAAAUUGAAGAGAGAUAUAUCUGAAAACUGGAAUAAGAAGCAAAUAAAUAUCAUCCUGCCUUCAUGGAACUCAGCUGUCUGUGGCUUCCCAUGUCUUUCUCCAAAGUUAUCCAGAGGGUUGUGAUUUUGUCUGCUUAGUAUCUCAUCAACAAAGAAAUAUUAUUUGCUAAUUAAAAAGUUAAUCUUCAUGGCCAUAGCUUUUAUUCAUUAGCUGUGAUUUUUGUUGAUUAAAACAUUAUAGAUUUUCAUGUUCUUGCAGUCAUCAGAAGUGGUAGGAAAGCCUCACUGAUAUAUUUUCCAGGGCAAUCAAUGUUCACGCAACUUGAAAUUAUAUCUGUGGUCUUCAAAUUGUCUUUUGUCAUGUGGCUAAAUGCCUAAUAAACAAUUCAAGUGAAAUACUAA
rnacentral:misc_RNA from 1 species